UUUAUUCCAAAACCCAGUCUUCAAUUGGGACGUUAUCAAAUUAUUAGAUGCGAUGGGUGACGGGGAAGGAGGGAGAGAAAAAAAAACUUCUAUCACAGCUCUAGUAGUAGUAGUAGUAGUAGUAGUAGUAGUAGUAGAAGAAGGAGUAGUAGUAAGUUUGAAAGUUAGUUAUAACUUGGUGUUUGGGAAGUCUACAUUGGCAGUAGAAUAUGGAGUCUGAGAUUAAUGCCAUGCCAUCUGACAGACAAAGACAGUGCCAAGUUUACAAGGAAAAAAGUAGAAAGAAACAUAGAAAAAAAAUUUGGCAAAGUACACCAACAAUGAUGAACAAAUUUAAAGAUUGGCAAACUAUUGACCUCAUUGUGAAGUGGUGUCAUCAGGGACAAUUGAUAAUUAAAUAAUAACUGACGAGGCUAAACUAUUUCGGAAGAAGUCAAAUAUUUGGUUGAGACUGACAACAACAGAGUGAUUGAGUUGUGGCUGCAUAUCUCUAAGACUGCUUCAAUAGAUUGUUCUGGGAUGGUUUUACUUUCAACCAUUAUUUGUUCAGCUGGAUCAUAUUUCUUUUGUAAACCAAUCAUGAAGAAUUUAUUUCCAGUUAAGUAAACUGGAAUAAAUAAACUUGUCCUAAUAAAUAUUUGAACAUUUGAGUACAUAAUCUUGUUUUCAUUAACAGCACCUGGUCACCAACAAUGGUUAAUUCUCCUUGAAUUAACAAUUGUUAUUGACAUAACACAGCUUCCUUAAACAAUAAGUAGUUCUGUCAUGGGUGGAGGGGCAAAAAGAAAAAAAAAAUACAGGUUGUUUGGUUUUGUGAUUUUGUUUAAAUGUAUGAAGAUGAAAGAGAAAUUGUCUGUGGCUGAGUGUUAAGCCUCUUCGCUGACCUACAUAAUCAGUAACCAUCUACUUGAACCUGACAGCACUCCAUUUAUGUCUUGUGCUUCUAAUGUUAAAAACAGCAUGGACGAAAGAAUCAAUAGUAUCCAAUGUUUGGUAACAGGGGUCACUUCCUGUACCUUAAUACAAAGAAAGACAGAAAGAAAAAUCAAUGAAACUCUCUUAGUUCAAUAAUCUACUUUAAUUGAUUCUGUGUAAAGUCUGGUUUAGGCAGCCUUUUCAUUAUUCAUGGUCCGUGGCUCAGGACAGGAAGUUUCUGUCUAUCAUUGAUGAGAUCUCGUCUCUUCCAAACAACUCGUCUCUUCUAAAGGCCAUUAGUGUGGUGGUGGUGGUGGUGUGAGGAGAAAGACGUAUUCACCAACCUCCACCAACCUCCACUCAAUCGAUUGGUUUCAAAAUCAAUGAGACACAAAUUACAAACUGAACUUCAAACUCACUAACUGACUAAUACACUAACAUAGUAACACAUCUCUUGAUUUAUUAAUAAUAUAACCCACUAACUUACCAACACAACUAAUAUAUUCCUAAACUGACUAUUCAAACCAGACUAGCACAUCUUUUAACUUACUAAAGCAUUUUCUAAAUAAUACAUAGAACUUAUUAAUCCAUGCCUUGACUCACUAAUAAACGAACUUACUCCUAACACAGCUUCUAAAGUACUAAAACAACACACACACACAUGUUGCUGAUCAAAUGAAUUAUAGGUGUAGUUAAUGGUAGUUCUCUCUUAAUCACUUUUUUUUUUUGGCCUUUAAUGAUUAAAAAAA